rnacentral:misc_RNA from 1 species
CGUGCAGCACCUACCCCCCUAUCUCUCCCGUCCAUUCUCUCUUCCCUUCUUCUCCAUUUUUUUUUUUUGGGCAACCAACCAGCCACCGCUAUUGGCAAGGCUUCCGGCAGCUCUUCCAUGCCUAGACGACCAUGACAAGACACCAAACAGUGGUGAACUACAGCAGUACGAGUGAAAAGAGGGGAGAGAGAGAGAGAGCAAUCGCAUAAGAAGGGACCCAACUUUCUAACGUCUUUCCAGCCAUUUCCGACAAUUCCAAGUGCUAUGAACUAUUGGGAUGACAAGCUUUCAGAUGGAACCUGUGGUGCUUCGUUUGGUGGCCCGAGGUAGGUGAUCUAGCCAGUGAAAGAGGAGAGAGAAAAUGAGUGGUAGUGAGUUUUUCGAUUAUUUUCCUAGUGAUCUCAGUCAAAUCAGCGAUUCAAGACCACCAUUGAACUCAGAGCGAUAAAACCUUCAAGAUAGGACUGACCUUGCUCUAAUCGAACAUUGUUUGGAAAAUAUGAUCAUUUGAUGGUCCAAAUCGCUCGGUGCGAUCAGAUCGGUAAUAGAUCAUCGGCACUCGAGAUAGAGUUUUCAGGCUAGCUCGGGCUUUUGGCAAACUGUCUCGAAAAGGGGUUGUGCUUACGGUCAAUCUUAAGAUUUUCAAAAGUUUCUGAUGCGUUCCAAGCAGCAGAAUUCACAAAGGUGAUUGGUGCCAGCUAACCUUCUUCUAUCCAGUAGAACCAGCCACAAUCGAGCCUACCAGUCUGUGAGUUUGAUAUUUAUUUUAUUUGUAAUUUCAAUAUUAUUAAAUUAUAUUUAAUGCAUACUCAUGCAUUCACUUAUCUGUAUAUAUAUAAUUAGUUAAAUACUAAGCAUGCUCUUUUAUUGCAUAUGUUAUUAAAUUUGUUUGUGAAUGUUGCCUAAAGAUAACUUGGAUUUCUAUGUGUGUGUGUUGGCGUGAUUAUGGUGUGAAUAUGAAUAUGGGUAGGACGGAUAGUGUGUAUGGCUUUGAGUGUGUAUGACUUUGAGUUGAUCUCGCUAACACUCGCAUUUGGAUUAUUAAGCGAAAGUCCGACUUAAGUUGACCUCGUUGGUACGUAUUUAAUUAAGAAAACUGUAUAAGUAAUCACCUCUCAUAUAUGUAUUGAUGUGAUACAUGAGUGUGUGCGUGCUCCAAAUUUUAUCUUUUGUGUGAAUGUUUGUUGAAUCGUUUGAAAUAUGUAAAUGUGUUGCAUUUCAUACAUAUGAAUGCAUUAGAUUUAGAUAGUUAUAGAAAUUAUAUUUAAAAUCAAUUUCUUACUCUCUAAGUCGAACGCUCACUCCUGUUCAACUUUUUUUUUCUCAGGUGACAAGUGGCUUUAUUUGUAAUUAACCUGCUUCUUUUUCCGACAUGUUGAAAAUAGAAAAUAUUUUAAUAUGUUUUUAUUGUCUUUUAUUUAAAUCUAAAACUCCGCAUAGAUUAAUAGUUAUAUUUUUAAUUGGGUUAUAUUAACUUAGUACUGGAGUUAUAAAAAUUAAUUAUGUGAGAUUGUAUAAACGUAUUAAAUGUUUAUUAUUGUUGAUGGAGGGAGCUGGGCUCCCAAAUAUCAAUAUAUGUGAUUUAAGGAUUGUGAGGGUGAGCUAAACCCCCCAUAUUAUUGAUAUUAUUUGU